rnacentral:rRNA from 1 species
GACAGAGGGUGCAAACGUUGUUCGGAAUUACUGGGCGUAAAGCGCGUGUAGGCGGCUCUGCAAGUCAGGUGUGAAAUCCCACGGCUCAACCAUGGAAGUGCACUUGAAACUGCAGGGCUAGAGUCCUGGAGAGGAAGGUGGAAUGCUUGGUGUAGAGGUGAAAUUCGUAGAUAUCAAGCGGAACACCGGUGGAGAAGGCGGCCUUCUGGACAGUGACUGACGCUGAGACGCGAAAGCGUGGGGAGCAAACAGG